AGUAAACAUACAAACAUCUCAACGUUUUACUUUAGAAGGCCACCACGGGUUCGCGUUUCGCAGAGCCCUGCAAGUUUCCUCCUACACCUCUGCAAACGCCGAAGAACUCUGAAGGGACAGCGUUCCUCUCCUGCCUCCCGUGCUCACCGGGCACCUUCAGACACUUAAAUGACCACGAAAGGAGGAAGAUGGAAACGUGCCAGUUCCACCCUAGACCAAACACCACCCCCAGACGGGCGAACACUCCAGAUUUAAAGAUAAAAAUGGCGUACCCUGAAGAUUUUCGAGGACCCAGUAGAAUCCAUGCAAAGUGACAGUGACUUGUAAAGUGCUUGAACCACGGUGUGACAUGGUGUGGCUUCAAGAAAAGUACAGAGGCAGCACAAGAGACAAAAGGGGCAUUUGCUCCAUCAUAAGAGCAUCCCACCCGCCGCCCCUUUUGCUCUGUGUUAAUAGUAUUUCCCUGGCAGCACCAUUGUGAGGCUAACUAACAAAGCUCUUGAAAAGAUUGGAAAUGGUGUGUAGCUAUUA